rnacentral:rRNA from 1 species
AGAGUUUGAUCCUGGCUCAGGAUGAACGCUGGCGGCGUGCCUAAUACAUGCAAGUCGAGCGAACGGACGAGAAGCUUGCUUCUCUGAUGUUAGCGGCGGACGGGUGAGUAACACGUGGAUAACCUACCUAUAAGACUGGGAUAACUUCGGGAAACCGGAGCUAAUACCGGAUAAUAUAUUGAACCGCAUGGUUCAAUAGUGAAAGACGGUUUUGCUGUCACUUAUAGAUGGAUCCGCGCCGCAUUAGCUAGUUGGUAAGGUAACGGCUUACCAAGGCAACGAUGCGUAGCCGACCUGAGAGGGUGAUCGGCCACACUGGAACUGAGACACGGUCCAGACUCCUACGGGAGGCAGCAGUAGGGAAUCUUCCGCAAUGGGCGAAAGCCUGACGGAGCAACGCCGCGUGAGUGAUGAAGGUCUUCGGAUCGUAAAACUCUGUUAUUAGGGAAGAACAAAUGUGUAAGUAACUAUGCACGUCUUGACGGUACCUAAUCAGAAAGCCACGGCUAACUACGUGCCAGCAGCCGCGGUAAUACGUAGGUGGCAAGCGUUAUCCGGAAUUAUUGGGCGUAAAGCGCGCGUAGGCGGUUUUUUAAGUCUGAUGUGAAAGCCCACGGCUCAACCGUGGAGGGUCAUUGGAAACUGGAAAACUUGAGUGCAGAAGAGGAAAGUGGAAUUCCAUGUGUAGCGGUGAAAUGCGCAGAGAUAUGGAGGAACACCAGUGGCGAAGGCGACUUUCUGGUCUGUAACUGACGCUGAUGUGCGAAAGCGUGGGGAUCAAACAGGAUUAGAUACCCUGGUAGUCCACGCCGUAAACGAUGAGUGCUAAGUGUUAGGGGGUUUCCGCCCCUUAGUGCUGCAGCUAACGCAUUAAGCACUCCGCCUGGGGAGUACGACCGCAAGGUUGAAACU